UACGUAGGGGGCAAGCGUUGUCCGGAAUCAUUGGGCGUAAAGAGCGUGUAGGCGGCCCGAUAAGUCCGCCGUGAAAGUCCAGGGCUCAACCCUGGAAUGCCGGUGGAAACUGUCGGGCUGGAGUCCGGAAGAGGCGAGUGGAAUUCCCGGUGUAGUGGUGAAAUGCGUAGAUAUCGGGAGGAAUACCAGUGGCGAAGGCGGCUGCCUGGCCUGUUCUUGACGCUGAGGCGCGAAAGCUGGGGGAGCAAACGGG
rnacentral:rRNA from 1 species